rnacentral:rRNA from 1 species
AGAAUCAACGCUGGCGGCGUGCCUAACACAUGCAAGUCGAACGCGGUUACUUCUGCUUCGCAAGAAGUAGUUGUAACUGAGUGGCGAACGGGUGAGUAACACGUGGGUGACCUGCCUUCGAGUGGGGGAUAACAUCCCGAAAGGGGUGCUAAUACCGCAUGGCAUCCUGCCUUUAAAGAGGCGGAGAUUAAAGCUGGGGAUCGUAAGACCUGGCGCUUGAAGACGGGGCCCGCGUCCGAUUAGCUAGGUUGGUGGGUAACGGCCUACCAAGGCGACGAUCGGUA